UCAAGAUGGCGGCGCCCAUGCUGCGGUGGGUUUUCCGGAGCCAGUGGUUUGGCACCCCGGGCCGGCCGGGAGUCUUACCCCUGGGGCUGCGUGAGGCCCACUCGGGCGCUCAGGGGUUGCUGGCGAUGCAGAAGGCUCGGGGUCUGUUCAAGGAAUUCUUCCCCGAGACGGGCACGAAGACAGAACUCCCGGAACUCUUCGACCGUGGCACCGCGGGCAGCUUUCCCCAGACCAUCUAUUGCGGCUUCGACCCCACGGCCGACUCGCUUCACGUGGGGCAUCUGCUGGCGCUUUUGGGCCUGUUUCACUUCCAGCGAGCUGGUCACAACGUGAUCGCGCUGGUGGGAGGCGCCACGGCGCGCCUGGGAGACCCGAGCGGCCGGACCAAGGAGCGCGAGGCGCUGGACGCUGAGCGCGUGCGAAAUAACGCGCGCGCCCUGCACCGAGGGCUGCAGGCCCUGGCGGCGAACCACCAGCGGCUCUUCGCCAAUGGGCGGACCUGGGGCAGCUUCACCGUGCUGGACAACUCGGCGUGGUACCAGAAGCGGGACCUGGUGGACUUCCUGGCGGCGGUGGGCGGCCACUUCCGCAUGGGCACGCUGCUGAGCCGGCUGAGCGUGCAGACGCGACUCAAGAGCCCCGAAGGCAUGAGUUUGGCCGAGUUUUUUUACCAGGUGCUCCAGGCCUAUGAUUUCUACUAUCUGUUCCAGCACUAUGGAUGCCGGGUCCAGCUGGGUGGGUCUGAUCAGCUGGGCAAUAUCGUGUCCGGAUACGAGUUCAUCCACAAGGUGACUGGAGAAGAUGUAUUUGGAAUCUCAGUUCCUCUAAUUACAAGUACAACUGGAGCGAAACUGGGAAAGUCUGCUGGCAAUGCUGUUUGGCUAAACCAAGAGAAGACAUCUCCAUUUGAAUUGUAUCAGUUUUUUGUAAGGCAGCAAGAUGAUUUGGUAGAAAGGUACCUGAAGCUCUUCACUUUUCUGCCCCUUCCAGAGAUCGACCACAUAAUGCAGCUGCAUGUCAAAGAGCCGGAAAAGAGGGGUCCUCAGAAACGACUUGCUGCAGAAGUAACAAAGCUUGUUCAUGGACAAGAAGGGCUGGACUCUGCAAAAAGGUGUACACAGGCCCUUUAUCACAGCAGCAUAGAUGCACUGGAGGUCAUGUCUGAUCAAGAGUUAAAAGAAUUAUUUAAAGAAGCUCCAUUUUCUGAAUUAGUUCUUGACCCUGGAACAAGUGUCCUAGAUACAUGCCGCAAAGCAAAUGCCAUUCCAGAUGGUCCCCGAGGGUAUCGGAUGAUAACAGAAGGUGGAGUCAGUAUAAAUCACAGACAAGUAACAAAUCCUGAGAGUGUGCUAGUUGUUGGACAACAUAUUCUUAAGAAUGGACUUUCAUUACUUAAAAUAGGAAAAAAGAACUUCUACAUUAUAAAAUGGCUUCAGCUAUGAUGAAAAAUCCUUCCGCUGGUUCAAACUUAUCCAUCAUUCAUUCUCAAGAUAUACAACUUUAAACCUUCACUUAUGCAACUCAAAAACAAAGAAUGGAGAAUACUCUAGGCCUCACAGUGCUUUCUUCAUAUGAAUUCCUAAGAAAAAUCCAAAUCCAAAAACUUCAUUUUGACAUUUGGAAGUAGACAAGAUCUUUUCUGGUAAAGAAUUCAAGGUAACAGAUUUUUACACAGAAAUUUUAAUAUAUGCAGCUAUUAUAAGUAACUAAAACCUGGUAGGUACAUAUUGUCAUCUUCCCUCUCUAAAAAAACCUUCUUGUUAUAAUAAAGUCAUCCGUCAUUUCAACUAAUUUUAUCAAGUUGAUAAAGUCACUGAAUUUUUUUAAAAGCCUUAAUACUUAAAAUCCACCUUUAAGCAUUUAUUCCAAUGUAUUCGAAAUAUUUUAUCUUUAAAUUACUCAAAGCCUAUUUUUAAACUUGUAUACCUUUACUCAAACAAUGAAAUAGUGCCAAUGGAAUAGUGAAGUGAGAAGAAAAAAUUACUCCUAGAACUGAGUAAUAUUCUGAGGAGGCUUACCAAACCAUCUUUGCAUAUUGGGAAUAUGCUUUAAAAACAUUUUUUACCUUGUCUCGUGAUACAGCUGAUGCUAGCCUGUUCCUCCUUUGUUCCUAUAAAACACAACCAAGCAGAAGGUUCAUGACUAUCAGAGCACAGAGAUGUAAGCCUACUUAAAAAAAAAAGUUCAGCUUAACUGAAAAGUGUAGAAUAACUUACAGUAUAUCCUCUUACUGUUGGGACUCAUGCCAUAAUUAUACUUUAAAACAAACAAGAAAUCACUUAACCCAAUGCUUCUCAAUCUUUUUUUCUGCCCCAACACACCUGAGGGAUACAAUACAACAUCAGUAACAGUGGCUUCCUGUACCAGGGAUUCUCAAGCGAGGGGCAAUGGACCAACAUCAUCUCUGCCUUUCCCACUGAUCACUGAUUUAAACUGUUCCCACAUAAAAGUGUACAUAAGCCUUCAGCAUACCAUAUAGAACUUGAAGUACACAGAUCACAGAAAACUUAAGCAGAGCCUUUAAAAAUCACUCUAACCUGCACACAUUUGUGUUAAAUUCGCACAAUUCUCACAUACAAAACCAUAAGAAAUAUGUAUAAGAGUGUUCUGUUUUCUUUAACCUAAACUACCUCCAGGAAAUAAAUGCAAUGUUGAAAACUGAUGGUCCUUUCUAUAACCUGGCUAAUUUAACAGACUGAUCACCUGCCUACUCUUCUAAUUUGUUAAUAUUAUCAAUAUGAUUAUGGUAGCAAGCUAAAGAAACUGUAAAUUCAAAUUAAUAGGUACUGAACACCUACUGUAUGUCAAGCACCAUGACAGAUGCAAGACUGAAAAAAAUAUAAGAGGAUGUAGGCGUUAACAGUGGCUCUCUCACAGGCAGCAUAAAAUACGGCAGAAAAGCAUUUACGUUAAAGAAAGACAAAAAUGCUCCUGAGUGGAAAGCAUUUCAUGAACACUCAGACUUGCAAAAAGGUGUAAGUUAACAAAGCUUCACAAUGAUGUUUCUGGGUAAGAAAACUUUUUAACAGAAAUUUUACCCACUUUUCAUUUAUCCAGUGAUAGAAAAUAUUAGCAGGUGAUAAAAAUAUAAAUUAUUUUUAACGAUCAUCAGAAUAAAAAGUUAGCAUUUAAAUGUACAUUUUGAAGAAGGACACAAAGCAAAAGGCAGAGGAAUCUAGAGACCAGACAUUCUCACCCUCGUCUGUUACCAACCAAUUACGACCUUAGCUGGCCCUGGAGACUUGGCUUUGUUAACUGGACAGGUUACCAACUCUAAGCCCUGGUUUCCCUAGUCUAUCAACAUUACCCUCAUAGGGUUGCUGUAAAGAUUAAAUGAGAACACUUUGACACAUAGUCAUUAAAACCAGAGACAUAUUUAUCUGUAAGAAAAAUGCUGAUCUGAAAUCUUAUCAUAUAUAACCUUAUCAAUUUUAGAAAAUCUGUUCCAGACACAAAUUUUUCAUGAAGGUUUCAGUGUUACAAGAACUAACUCCUAUCUUAAGACAGUGUCUGCAUCUAAUUUUUAACAUAAUAACCGUUAUCUUGUCCACUUUCUGAGUGUUUUAAAGUGUCUUACUCAUAUGCAUUUCGGAAUUUUAUUCUUUUUUUUUUUUUUUUUUCUGGCCGCACCAUGUAGCUUGUAAGGUCUUAGUUCCCCAACCAGAGAUUGAACCCAGGCCACGGAAAUUCCAGAGAAUUUUUUUCCCUGGAAUUUUUCUCAACUGUGUAGCUAAAAAAACAGCUCCCUGUACCUGAAGGUGCUUUUUUCCUCUAACAGUGCCCAGCAAAAUAAGCACUAAAGUAACAGCUGUUAUCAUCUGUGGGUCUCAGGUUCCUCAUCUGUUUAACCAAAGGGUCCCUUCUAGUGUAAACCCAGGGUCCCUUCCAGUUCCCAAAUUCCAUGUUUACAAUUUUCUGCAUAAGAGGAAAUUUGAUAUAGAAGGGGCUCUUAGGUCUUACUGGACUACGGAACAGUGGAAAAUUUUACAGUUUUGGAUAAAAGUGGCAGAGAAAAAAUUGCAUCCAGAUAAAUCGCUCUAUCCAUCAGCCUUGGCUCCAUCUGAGCUCUUAUACAACCUACAACAUUAACCUCAAAUGGAAAACCAAAAAAGCAGCCGUGAAACACAGCAGCCACAUUAAUGGUGAAAUAGUAUUCUGUUUCUCCAAACUUCCUAUAAUUUAGGUAAUUCUCAGGAUGUUUCCUUCACAGCUUACAAAGUCAAAUGAAAACAAUUUUAAACACCCACUUUGUUUUACAUACUUCAGUCUAAUAAACUGCAAAAAGUUACUGAAAUGGAGCCAGGCCGUCCUUCAACACUAAAUCAUGGAGUCCCAGAUCCUCUCUGAGUUACAGUUUCACAAGCAGAAAAUGAGAACAAUGCCUCCAGGUGGUUCUGAGAAUUAAAUUUAGGAAAACAAUGUAAUGCCCUCCGCAUACUUCUUGGCAUAUAACAGACAAUAAUAUGGUGUAUAUAUAUCUUAUAGUUACUCCUUGCUCAGCAACUUUGAUAUAACGGAGCUAAAACAGAUUUUCCCUCAAAAAAGACAAAUUCGAACUCUAUUUACCUCUAUAUUAUUGUUCAUUAACCCACAAGCAUCCGCAAAGUCUGGAUGUUUUGUGUUGAUAUAAGCCAAUUCAAUUGCCACUAAGUUAUGGACCUAGAAAAAAAAUAAAAGUAACUUUUAUAGCAAAUAACAAUUUGCUCUAUCUUUUAAAUUAUCUACACUUCAGCAUCCAAGAUUGCAUUUCUGACACUGAAGUAGUUAGAAGUAUUUUUUAGGGAAAAAAAAAAGUUAUCUACCUGAUGUAUAUCUAACUUCCAAGCAACUUUGCUAUUAAAACCUUAAAUCAGGGACUUCUGGUGGCAUAGUGGUUAAGAAUCCACUGCAAAUGCAGGGGACACGGGUUUGAGCCCUGGUCCAGGAAGAUCCCACAUGCCAUGGAGCAACUAAGCCCAUGCGCCACAGCUACUGAGCCUGUGCUCUAGAGCCCGUGAGCCACAACCACUGAGCCCACGUGCCUGGAGCCCGUGCUCUGCAACAAGAGAAGCCACCGCAAUGAAAAGCCCGUGCACCACAACGAAGACCCAAUGCAGCCAAAAAUAAAUAAAUAAAAAUAUUUUUUAAAAAUAAAAUAAUAAAACACUUUAGAUCAUCCACUAUUCCCUGUCAAAAGUUCAGGUUCAACAAUAAGAAAAUAUAAUCAGAUGUAGGUUAAAGAUGUUAACUUUACUUGGGUAAAGGAUACAUUUAAAGGCCUGAGAUAAUGAUUGAUUAGCCUUAAUUAUGAAGCACCUAAAUAUAUGUGGUUCAAAAUCCUAAUUGGGACAAUAAUCAAAAAGGAAAGUUGAAAUUAAUUUCUCCAGCACUGUAGAGAGAUUAAACAAACUCCUUCAUCUCCACUGUCCUGACAAAUGUCAGGCAUCAGAACAGCACUAAAAGAUCAAGAACCAGUGAAAAUGAUUUAUUUAAAUGAAAUUCUGAUGACUCAUAUCGGUGGGCAGAGUCUGAAAUCAGGCUAACGAUGUUCUUACUCAUUUCAAUCUGGUGGUUAUGCUUGCUAGGGAAACAGCUAAGCAGCAGCACUUAUGCGCUAUACUUCCAAGGAUGGUUUUGUACUCUCUAAGUAAAUGUCCAUUUUGGGCUCACCAUCCUGAGCCAAGGACCCAAAUGCACAUUUAGAGACCAGAAAGGAAAAGAAGAAACUAGCCAACAAUUAGAGGCAUACAGACAAUUUCAAAUGCCCAUCCCAUAUUUCUGCCAAUUUUAGGAUUUUUAUUUUUAAGGAUAGCAACCAUGAUAUUAUGGUAUUAGGUCAUCAAACAAGCAAACUGUACAAACAGCCAAAUUACCCCAUGUACAUCAGAGUUAAAAAAAGAGUUUGCUAUAUAAAGGCUUGGUUUACUGGGGCUGAAGAUAAAACUAACUUUCCAUUAAAUCAGUGCUCUGGUUUCUCUUCAGAUCGUAUAAAUCUUUCGCCUUUUAAAUCAGUGCUGCUAUAUAAUAAAGCAAAGCUAUUCACAAUCCUCAACAGUAACUCCAUUUUCAGGAAAAUCUGUGGCCUCAGGCUAACAGUGAUUAAAAUAUGAAGAAAAAUGCAUUUUAUACCAAAAUUACUGAAAUUUCCUUUGAAAUAAGACUGAAACUCACUUCUUUUUCUUUCCAAUACACUGGGAACCAUUAUGCCUACACUCAUGAAGCCAUACAAAACAACUUUUAUUAACAGUGACUACAAUGAUUUAUGAAAUAAGAGCUCACCAUUUCAUUUGUAACAGGCAACCGUUUACGAAGAAGGCAAGUCACUACUUCCACUAUGGCAUCAUGAAGUUUAGGGAACCGCAACAACUCCUAUAUAUGAUGGAAGAAACAGUCUGUUUUGUUUAAAGGAAAAUUAAAUAAUCACUGAAGUAAUGAAUCAGAUUUGGAAGCUACUUUUAAACUAUACUAUUUCAAAUCACUUUUAGAUAAGGGAACUACAUUUUAACUUUCAGCCCAUCUUCUAUAUUUCCUCCUUCCCCUUGAAACCACCACCUCGUGUCUUUUACUGCAUAACCUGAGGCCUGUCAGGUUCCUCCAUUACCUGUGU